GAUGAUUCAUUGAUCAUUCAUCAACAUAUUUGAAGUGUUGAAGAUUUAAUCAACCUUAGGAUCAAUUACCAAUGACCAAUAGAUUGCCAUCAACCAUGACGAAACACAAGGACAAAAAGGUCCAAUGAAAAUGAUAAAAAUAAAUGGUUAAUGGUAAUAAAUAAAAGAUAAUGAUGGAAUGUAUCUAAUAAAAUAUUUGAUCAAAAGAAAUAAACAAGAAAAGAAAU
rnacentral:lncRNA from 1 species